AGUGAACGCUGGCGGUAGGCCUAACACAUGCAAGUCGAACGGCAGCACAGUAAGAGCUUGCUCUUACGGGUGGCGAGUGGCGGACGGGUGAGGAAUACAUCGGAAUCUACUUUUUCGUGGGGGAUAACGUAGGGAAACUUACGCUAAUACCGCAUACGACCUACGGGUGAAAGCAGGGGAUCUUCGGACCUUGCGCGAUUGAAUGAGCCGAUGUCGGAUUAGCUAGUUGGCGGGGUAAAGGCCCACCAAGGCGACGAUCCGUAGCUGGUCUGAGAGGAUGAUCAGCCACACUGGAACUGAGACACGGUCCAGGCUCCUACGGGAGGCAGCAGUGGGGAAUAUUGGACAAUGGGCGCAAGCCUGAUCCAGCCAUACCGCGUGGGUGAAGAAGGCCCUCGGGUUGUAAAGCCCUUUUGUUGGGAAAGAAAAGCAGCAGGUUAAUACCCCGCUGUUCUGACGGUACCCAAAGAAUAAGCACCGGCUAACUUCGUG
rnacentral:rRNA from 1 species